rnacentral:misc_RNA from 1 species
UAUUGGAAUGAAGAAAAACAGGGAAAUUGGCCACUGAAAUCAUUGGAAGAAAGAUCUAACAUCUCUAAUUCGGGAAGGAAUGUAAAAAUACCAGGAACUUGCCUUGUAAAAGCGUUAGAUAUCAUAAACCCAAGAAAUUGAGUUGCUCAAAAUUGCCAAUUGGUGCUGAAAUUGUGCUAAAAAAAAUUAUUGUGUAAAAGAGAUAACUAUUCAAUAA